AUUGAACGCUGGCGGCAGGCCUAACACAUGCAAGUCGAACGAGUGGCGGACGGGUGAGUAAUGUCUGGGAAACUGCCCGAUGGAGGGGGAUAACUACUGGAAACGGUAGCUAAUACCGCAUACCAUCGGAUGUGCCCAGAUGGGAUUAGCUAGUAGGUGGGGUAACGGCUCACCUAGGCGACGAUCCCUAGCUGGUCUGAGAGGAUGACCAGCCACACGGGAACUGAGACACGGUCCAGACUCCUACGGGAGGCAGCAGGGGGGAAUAUUGCACAAUGGGCGCAAGCCUGAUGCAGCCAGGCCGCGUGUAUGAAGAAGGACUUCGGGUUGUAAAGUACUUUCAGCGGGGAGGCGUUACCCGCAGAAGAAGCACCGGCUAACUCCGUGCCAGCAGCCGCGGUAAUAC
rnacentral:rRNA from 1 species